rnacentral:rRNA from 1 species
AUUGAACGCUGGCGGCAGGCCUAACACAUGCAAGUCGAGCGGAUGAGUGGAGCUUGCUCCAUGAUUCAGCGGCGGACGGGUGAGUAAUGCCUAGGAAUCUGCCUGGUAGUGGGGGACAACGUUUCGAAAGGAACGCUAAUACCGCAUACGUCCUACGGGAGAAAGCAGGGGACCUUCGGGCCUUGCGCUAUCAGAUGAGCCUAGGUCGGAUUAGCUAGUAGGUGAGGUAAAGGCUCACCUAGGCGACGAUCCGUAACUGGUCUGAGAGGAUGAUCAGUAACACUGGAACUGAGACACGGUCCAGACUCCUACGGGAGGCAGCAGUGGGGAAUAUUGGACAAUGGGCGAAAGCCUGAUCCAGCCAUGCCGCGUGUGUGAAGAAGGUCUUCGGAUUGUAAAGCACUUUAAGUUGGGAGGAAGGGCAGUAAGUUAAUACCUUGCUGUUUUGACGUUACCAACAGAAUAAGCACCGGCUAACUUCGUGCCAGCAGCCGCCGUAACAC